GUGAUGCUUUAUGAAAAUUCAUCAUCUUUAAAACUCUGGUUCUUCAUGUUUACGAUUAUUAAAAUUGGAAUUGAGUUUGAUGAGUUCAUCUUGUAUUUCUGGUCAUGACUAGCCCAGGCAGGUGGAGUCUGUACUAGUUGUAAUGUACAGUAAGGUAGACUAGCAUCCAACCUGGGUUAAAUCAUGACUAACAUUUAUAGUCCCAGUAACUGCAUGGUAAUUACCUCCUUCCUCUGUGGUAUUACUAAAUACAUGUACUAGGUGGCGGCCGAGGCCUACCAUUUUUUCUCAAAUUUUGGGAUUGACUGGUUCAAUACAACAAUCUUUUAUGUUACAUUUACCCUUUUGGGGGGGGGAUUUAGAUUUGAAAUUUGUGAGAAAAUGGAAUUUUCUGACUGAUGAGUGAUACUAGAUGUAAACCAGUCAAUCAAAUUUGACUUCACCAUGUUUCAUGUAUUAAAACACUUUUUUCCUGGUGCAUGUUAAUUCCCUCAAAACUCAACCCUCUGCCCUCUUUUCACAAUAUUAUUAACCCUACAGUUCAGCAUAAGGUCAACGUUAACUACCUUAUCCAAAAGUUUAAUGUGGCCCUGUAGGUCUCCCACUUAUUGUAGGAAUACAUAUAGGUCCCCAAAUACACAAUUCCCGUAUCCAGCAUGUCCACGUAUGUAGGUCUACAUUUCUUGAUGACCAUUUGAAUCCUUACAACGUAUCAGUAGGCAUGUCAAUGUAUAGAUUCCAUGACAUCAACAAAACUUACAUUGCCUAGUAUGAAAUGCACACAUGUUGUAAGUGGUAAAUUGCACUUGUAAUAAAAUUUUUAGGGUUUUCCAACCUAAUUAACUUAUUUGUAACCUUUACCUUAAACUAAAUGUUCAGGAUGCCCAAUGACACCCAAGAUGCAGUGCUAAACUGACUGUCAGCAUUUGCAGAAAGGAUGACCCUGACCGAAUGGCAAGUAACAGCCAGGAUAGGAUGUCAAACUUGGCCAAGCAGAGUGAGGUGCAGAACUGUCUGCCAGUAUCGGAAUGUAGUAGUAACGUUAAGGAGAUGAUAAAAUGUAGCCUGGUUGAAAACAGGUUCCCCACAAUGUCCUGGUUGAGGCGAGAUGUUAUCAGAAAUCUAGCGUCAGCAGUCUCUUUCAAGUGCAACCAUAGCUGAUUGACACAAGAUAUGGCCAGAAGCCAGCCCAAGGGCAAGAUGAACAUUAUCUUCUUUGCUCCAACUACUCUGAGAUUCUUCAGCACAGGAGCCCUGGUCGCACACAACCACCUUCGGAUGCAGCCUGAUGUCUUUCAGAUGCUAAAUGCAUUCCAUUAGUAAUGCCUCAAGGUGAGUAGCACUUGUGGCA